rnacentral:rRNA from 2 species
UCCGAACUCAGAAGUGAAACGAAAUAGCGCCGAUGGUAGUGUGGGGUUUCCCCAUGUGAGAGUAGGACAUCGCCAGGCU